AUCCGGAGGGUGCGAGCGUUAAUCGGAAUUACUGGGCGUAAAGCGCGCGUAGGCGGUUAGAUAAGUCUGAUGUGAAAGCCCUGGGCUUAACCUGGGAAUGGCAUUGGAUACUGUUUGACUAGAGUGCGGGAGAGGAGAGUGGAAUUCUCGGUGUAGCGGUGAAAUGCGUAGAGAUCGGGAGGAACACCAGUGGCGAAGGCGGCUCUCUGGACUGACACUGACGCUGAGGUGCGAAAGCGCGGGUAGCAAACAGGAUUAGAAACCCGGGUAGUCC
rnacentral:rRNA from 1 species